rnacentral:rRNA from 1 species
GAUGAACGCUGGCGGCGUGCCUAAUACAUGCAAGUCGAGCGAAGCGGGGACGGGUGAGUAACACGUGGAUAACCUCCUAUAUGACUGGGAUAACUUCGGGAAACCGGAGCUAGACCGGAUACUUAUAGAUGGACCCGCGCUGCAUUAGCAAGUUGGUAAGGUAACGGCUUACCAAGGCAACGAUGCAUAGCCGACCUGGUAGAGUGACCGGCCACAUGGGAACGAGGAAAGGGACAAGCCUCCAACGGAGGGCAGCAGUAGGGAAUCUUCCGAAAGGAGCGAAAGCCGACCGAACAAACGCCGCGUGAGUGAUGAGGGUCUUCGGAUCUAAAAACUCGGUUAUUAGGAAAGCGGUACCUAAACAGAAAGCCACGGCUAACUACGUGCCAGCAGCCGCGGUAAUAC